UACGUAGGUCCCGAGCGUUGUCCGGAUUUAUUGGGCGUAAAGCGAGCGCAGGCGGUUCUUUAAGUCUGAAGUUAAAGGCAGUGGCUUAACCAUUGUAUGCAUUGGAAACUGGUAGACUUGAGUGCAGGAGAGGAGAGUGGAAUUCCAUGUGUAGCGGUGAAAUGCGUAGAUAUAUGGAGGAACACCGGUGGCGAAAGCGGCUCUCUGGCCUGUAACUGACACUGAGGCUCGAAAGCGUGGGGAGCAAACAGG
rnacentral:rRNA from 1 species